UACAGAGGGGGCAAGCGUUAUUCGGAAUUAUUGGGCGUAAAGGGCGCGUAGGCGGCAUGGCAAGUGGAAGGUGAAAUCCCUCGGCUUAACCGAGGAACUGCCCUCCAAACUGCUUUGCUUGAGGCCGGGAGAGGUGAGUGGAAUUCCUGGUGUAGCGGUGAAAUGCGUAGAUAUCAGGAGGAACACCUGCGGUGUAGACGGCUUUCUGGACCAUUGCUGACGCUGAGACACGAAAGCGUGGGUAGCAAACAGG
rnacentral:rRNA from 1 species